rfam:Coxiella burnetii RSA 493, complete genome.
CGGCUAUCUAUACAGGGAUACAUUAAUUUGGAUGUUGCGUUGGGGUUUGGUGCGGUCAAGUGGCUACAUUUGCGACAGAAUGGCAGGAACGAUCUUCCGUAACCGAUUCCCACCACGCUAUCACAAACAUUCCUUAAAGACUCUUGCGAGAUCCCUUCCCGCGCUUCCUUGAUAAGUUUUCCUUUUGCCUUCAUGG